rnacentral:antisense_RNA from 1 species
GAGUGGUCAUCAGACUUCAAUUUCACAGACUAGAAUUCAGAAAUGGAACAAAACCUCGGGAUACCAGCCUUCCAUUUUGUGCAUAUAAUAAACGAGUAAAAGGCUGGGCGCAGUGGCUCACGUCUAUAAUCCCAGCACUUUGACAGGCUGAGGCGGGCGGAUCAUGAGGUCAGGAGAUCGAGACCAUCCUGGCUAACACGGUGAAACCCCGUCUCUACUAAAAAUACAAAAAAUUAGCCAGGCAUGGUGGCGGGCACCUGUAGUCGCAGCUACUCAGGAGGCUGAGGCAGGAGAACAGCAUGAACCCAGGAGGCUGAGGCAGGAGAACAGCAUGAACCCGGGAGGCAGGGCUUGCAGUGAGCCAGUAUCACGUCAGUGCACUCCAGCCUGGGUGACAGAGUGAGACUCUGUCUCAAAUAAAAUAAAUAAAUAAAUAAAUAAAUAAAUGAAAGGUCUAGAAGGAUAUAAAACAAAAUAUUAAAAUC